AUGUGAAUUGCAGAAUUCAGUGAAUCAUCGAAUCUUUGAACGCACAUUGCGCCCGCCAGUAUUCUGGCGGGCAUGCCUGUUCGAGCGUCAUUUCAACCCUCAAGCCCAGCUUGGUGUUGGGACUCGCGAGUCAAAUCGCGUUCCCCAAAUUGAUUGGCGGUCACGUCGAGCUUCCAUAGCGUAGUAGUAAAACCCUCGUUACUGGUAAUCGUCGCGGCCACGCCGUUAACCCCCAACUUCUGAAUGUUGACCUCGGAUCAGGUAGGAAUACCCGCUGAACUUAAGCAUAUCAAUAAGCGGAGGAAAAGAAACCAACAGGGGUUGCCCUAGUAACGGCGAGUGAAGCGGCAACAGCUCAAAUUUGAAAUCUGGCUCUCGGGCCCGAGUUGUAAUUUGUAGAGGAUACUUUUGAUGCGGUGCCUUCCGAGUUCCCUGGAACGGGACGCCAUAGAGGGUGAGAGCCCCGUCUGGUUGGAUGCCAAAUCUCUGUAAAGUUCCUUCGACGAGUCGAGUAGUUUGGGAAUGCUGCUCUAAAUGGGAGGUAUAUGUCUUCUAAAGCUAAAUACCGGCCAGAGACCGAUAGCGCACAAGUAGAGUGAUCGAAAGAUGAAAAGCACUUUGAAAAGAGAGUUAAAAAGUACGUGAAAUUGUUGAAAGGGAAGCGUUUAUGACCAGACUUGGGCUUGGUUAAUCAUCUGGGGUUCUCCCCAGUGCACUUUUCCAGUCCAGGCCAGCAUCAGUUUUCGCCGGGGGAUAAAGACUUCGGGAAUGUGGCUCUCUUCGGGGAGUGUUAUAGCCCGUUGUGUAAUACCUGGCGGGGACUGAGGUUCGCGCAUCUGCAAGGAUGCUGGCGUAAU
rnacentral:rRNA from 1 species